rnacentral:rRNA from 1 species
GUGAGGAAUAUUCGUCAAUGGGGGAAACCCUGAACGAGCAACGCCGCGUGGAGGAUGAAGGCUUUCGGGUCGUAAACUCCUUUUCAGGGAGACGAGAAAGGACGGUAUCCCUGGAAUAAGUCACGGCUAACUACGUGCCAGCAGCCGCGGUAAUACGUAGGUGACGAGCGUUAUCCGGAUUUACUGGGCGUAAAGCGCUUGUAGGUGGUUUUGUAAGUUGGACGUUAAAUCUCCAGGCUCAACUUGGAGAGGCCGUUCAAUACUGCGAGACUAGAGGAUGUCAGAGGAAGGUGGAAUUCCAGGUGUAGUAGUGAAAUGCGUAGAUAUCUGGAGGAACACCCAUGGCGAAGGCAGCCUUCUGGGACAUUCCUGACACUGAGAAGCGAAAGCUAGGGGAGCAAACAGGAUUAGAAACCCCUGUAGUCC